CCUACGGGAGGCAGCAGUAGGGAAUCUUCCACAAUGGGCGCAAGCCUGAUGGAGCAACACCGCGUGAGUGAAGAAGGGCUUCGGCCCGUAAAGCUCUGUUGUUGGAGAAGAACGUGCGUGAGAGUAACUGUUCACGCAGUGACGGUAUCCAACCAGAAAGUCACGGCUAACUACGGGCCAGCAGCCGCGGUAAUACGUAGGUGGGAAGCGUUAUCCGGUUAUAUUGGGCGUAAAGCGAGCGCAGGCGGUAGCUUAGGUCGGAGGUGAAAGCCUUCGGUAUAACGGAAGAAGUGCAUCGGAAACCGGGCGACGUGAGUGCGGAAGAGGAGAGUGGAACGCGAUGUGUAGCGGUGGAAUGCGUAGAUAUAUGGAAGAACACCGGUGGCGAAGGCGGCUGUCUGGUCUGCGACUGACGCUGAGGCUCGAAAGCAUGGGUAUCGAACAGGAUUAGAUACCCGGGUAGUC
rnacentral:rRNA from 1 species